rnacentral:lncRNA from 1 species
CUUGAUUUAAAUUAAAAACACAAAAUUAUUUAAUAUGAACAGAGGUGAAAGUUUCAGAAAAGCAAUUAUUACUGACAGCAAUAAAAUUGCUUAGCACUCAUUCUUGAGCUGAAAUUCAGACCGUGUUGUUGAGCCGGCUGCAUUGUAGAUCUUAAGCUCUCUAUUACACCACUAUUUCGACUUGUAUUAAUUUGGAAAAUUUCAGUUUCAUGGUCCCUCAAUUACUUGAUUAAGUUUCAUGUUGCCACUGAUCACGGAAAGUCUAUAAUUUUUAAAGCAUAUGAUAUAAGCAUUUUAUGAGCAAACCAGAAAAUGACAAAGUUUUUGUCAAACAUAAAAAAAUGAAAAGUUUGUCAGUAUUUGGCUUUGUUGCAUCAGUUAAACAUUGAGAAGAAUGAGAUGGCUUUUAUUACAAACCAAACUGGUUACUUGCUAAUAAGGCACGCAACUUUAUUAGUUUUAAUUCAGUUUUCUUUUAGUCAUCUAGCUUUCAAUUUUCGGUAUUAUUUUGGAGUAUGUUUUCAAUAAAAGAUUAAAAGAACAUUGAUAAACAUUUGUCUCAUCGUAAUUUGUAUUUUGAACUUAUCAAAGUGCAUUGGGAAAAAGUAAACUUAUGUUCCAUCUCAAUCUUCUCUUGUUUAAGUGGACUUUCUGUGUUUGUUGAAAGUUUGGAAAGUUCAUAUGAAAAUUACAAUGUUUCUAUUAAUGUUGAUUUGGAUCUUUAUUCGAGUCUUCAAAUAUUGAAUCUUACAAAAAAACAAUUAAUGAUCAAUUGAAGUAUACAAUACUUUUAAAAUUAGCACUGUUGGAACUGCCUUGUUGUUCAAUAGUCCUGUCUUUGAUUAUUCCUGGACACAAAUAAAAUGGAUUUGUUGAGGAACAAGGCAGUUCUGUACAGUACUGACUUAUAGGAGGGUUGUGUUUUUUUUUCAUUCUUGUGCCAACCACAUUGUGGUUUUCAACACAAUUUGAGUUUCGGAACAAACCUUGUGAUUUUUAAAAACUUUCCCAACUUUAAAACAAACACUUAAGGUCGAAAUAAGCUAGGAUAUUGCCUUAACCUCGUUACAAAGCGGAACUUAUUUGAAUAUGGAUGAACUGAAGCUCGGCAAGCUGUACUUAAUUUGGGGGUAAUUUGAGUUGGAGAAAAUAAAAGAAAAUUGAUUAUCAUGCAUGGCAAGGAAAACCACAACCAGACUACAGGAUGAUUUUCUUUGGAAUAGGUUUUAAUUAUAGGGAAGGAAAAACAAUCAGUAUUGAAAAGUAUAUAUUAAUUGUUUGGUAAAGCAAUCCAAUAAUUGGAAUAGUGAGGCUGAAGAUAAGAUCCACAGUUCUUUGUGCUAGUGUUAAUCAAUGCAUAAUUUGAUAACAUUUGAAUCAAUAUUCAAGCAGGGAAUCAACCAUAUUUAUUUACUUUAUACCAAACAUACAUAACUACAUGAUUGUAGUAGACAUACAGGGACACUGCAACACCACAUAGCUGACAACUACUGCGAACAAUUUGAAUUAGUAUUCAUCAAAAUUUGUGUGUGUUUCCAAGCUGUUUCAUACAUAAGAGGCAAUCACUGGGAUGCUCUUUGUGUAAAAUUCUUUUUUGAUUUAAAUAAUCUGACCUGCAACCCCAAUUUAUUAAUUAGGUGUGAAUUUUUUAAUCUUCAAUUUCAAAUUUUAUUUCAAAUCAGAUUCAAAGAAUCAGAUUUAUAAUUUUUAUUGGCUGGUUGUGGUUAAUAAUUGUUUGGCAAUUAAAAUUGAUUUUGUUAGUUUUCUAUGUUUACGUGCAUUUCUUUUGCUUCAGUUCAACAUUAUAUUCAAAUAGUUCCACUUUGUAAUGGUGUGUUAUAAUAGUCAUAAUAAUAAUAUAAGCAAACAGGUUUACAUGGCACUCGGACAUAGCCUUGGUAUGUAAAGGUAAGUUUAUACUUCAAAAAGGUCUGUUUUAACCUGACAAGAAUGCUGUCCAAAAUGAACUAAAACUCGAUCUUUGUGAUCUGUAUUACAUGAAAUUUCAUAUGUUGAAUCGACAACACUGCAUGAGCGACUACCGUAUAUGUCUUUUGGUGUUUGUGUUUGGUUUGCUUUAAUGUUGAUACUAGAAAUUGAUGAAAAUGCAAUAUAAUAUUCCGAAUGUUGAGAGAGAUUGUAAGGAUUGAAUGGAAACUGAUUGUUCCUUGUGAGGACUUGGGAAAACUGUUUGUCUUCUGUUGAAACUUGAGUUAAAGAUCGAAGUAUACUCGACAAAAAUAAUUUCCUGUUUUUAUUACGCAAAACAAUAAGCUUUUUUUCUUUUGGUUUUGACCAAUAUAAAUAAAAGUGUAAAAAAAUAAGAGAAUAUUUUAUGAACAUUUGAAAGUUUGGUUCAACCAUAUUUUGUGUGUUUCUGUACAUGUUUCGCAUCAAAAAUAUUUCCUGAGCUUUUUUUUUAAAUAUAUAUAAAUAAUAUAAAACAGAACAACUUUUGAAUUCCCAAAGUGAAAUUCAGGAAAUGUUUGUAAAGUAGUGGAUCAAUGACAAUGUGUAUCAUUUUAUUGUAUUUAUCGAGGACAAAGAAAUGCACCAUUUUAAGCAAAG